GACGAACGCUGGCGGCGCGCUUAACACAUGCCAGUCGAACGGAAAGGCCUGCUUUCCCUUGUGGAUUGCGGGUACUCGAGUGGCGAACGGGUGAGUAACACGUGAGUGAUCUGCCCCCAACUUGGGUAUAAGCCUGGGAAACUGGGUCUAAUUCCCGAUAGGACUGCAGGGUGGUGCCUGUGGUGGAAAACGAUUUUCUAGUGGUUGGGGAUGAGCUCGCGGCCUAUCAGCUUGUUGGUGGGGUAAUGGCCUACCAAGGCGGCGACGGGUAGCCGGCCUGAGAGGGUGGACGGCCACAUUGGGACUGAGAUACGGCCCAGACUCCUACGGGAGGCAGCAGUGGGGAAUAUUGCACAAUGGGCGGAAGCCUGAUGCAGCGACGCCGCGUGGGGGAUGACGGCCUUCGGGUUGUAAACUCCUUUCGACCGCGAGGAAGCCACCUGGUUGGAAGGGUGGUGACGGUAGUGGUAGAAGAAGCACCGGCUAACUACG
rnacentral:rRNA from 1 species